rnacentral:rRNA from 1 species
UGCAGUCGAGCGCGUUGACGGGAGCUUGCUCCCUGAUUCAGCGGCGGACGGGUGAGUAAUGCCUAGGAAUCUGCCUAUUAGUGGGGGACAACGUUUCGAAAGGAACGCUAAUACCGCAUACGUCCUACGGGAGAAAGCAGGGGACCUUCGGGCCUUGCGCUAAUAGAUGAGCCUAGGUCGGAUUAGCUAGUUGGUGAGGUAAUGGCUCACCAAGGCGACGAUCCGUAACUGGUCUGAGAGGAUGAUCAGUCACACUGGAACUGAGACACGGUCCAGACUCCUACGGGAGGCAGCAGUGGGGAAUAUUGGACAAUGGGCGAAAGCCUGAUCCAGCCAUGCCGCGUGUGUGAAGAAGGUCUUCGGAUUGUAAAGCACUUUAAGUUGGGAGGAAGGGUUGUAGAUUAAUACUCUGCAAUUUUGACGUUACCGACAGAAUAAGCACCGGCUAACUCUGUGCCAGCAGCCGCGGUAAUACAGAGGGUGCAAGCGUUAAUCGGAAUUACUGGGCGUAAAGCGCGCGUAGGUGGUUUGUUAAGUUGGAUGUGAAAGCCCCGGGCUCAACCUGGGAACUGCAUCCAAAACUGGCAAGCUAGAGUACGGU